rnacentral:tmRNA from 1 species
GGGGUCGUUACGGAAUCGACUGGCAUUGUUCGUGCUAAAAUUGCGUUUAGGGGUUGUGGCCCUAUAAUCCACUCAGACAGAAUAACUGCAAAAAAUUCAAACAAAACUUACGCUUUCGCUGCUUAAAAACCAGCAAGUGUUGCCAAAGUUAAAGGUAAUCGCCCUUUAAUCUUGGUCUAAAAUUUUGCGAUUUGCGCAAAGUGGCCUUUUGUCUGGAGACACUUUGAAGAGGACAAGCAGACUAGCUAGUGCGAUAGCCUUGUUUAUCGGCGUACAAACUAGUGAAUUUUAAAUUGGUAGACUACGAACGUAGAUGUUUUAGUUACGAGAUGUUAGGACAGGGGUUCAACUCCCCUCGGCUCCAUUU